GACGAACGCUGGCGGCGUGCUUAACACAUGCAAGUCGAACGGAAAGGCCCUGCUUUUGUGGGGUGCUCGAGUGGCGAACGGGUGAGUAACACGUGAGUAACCUGCCCUUGACUUUGGGAUAACUUCAGGAAACUGGGGCUAAUACCGGAUAGGAGCUCCUGCUGCAUGGCGGGGGUUGGAAAGUUUCGGCGGUUGGGGAUGGACUCGCGGCUUAUCAGCUUGUUGGUGGGGUAGUGGCUUACCAAGGCUUUGACGGGUAGCCGGCCUGAGAGGGUGACCGGCCACAUUGGGACUGAGAUACGGCCCAGACUCCUACGGGAGGCAGCAGUGGGGAAUAUUGCACAAUGGGCGGAAGCCUGAUGCAGCAACGCCGCGUGCGGGAUGACGGCCUUCGGGUUGUAAACCGCUUUCGCCUGUGACGAAGCGUGAGUGACGGUAAUAGGUAAAGAAGCACCGGCUAACUACGUG
rnacentral:rRNA from 1 species